rnacentral:lncRNA from 1 species
UCGCAUCUUUAACAAGCUCCCAGGUGAUGCUGCUGUGGAUCCUGUGAUCCUGCUUUGAGAGCCACUGCCCUAGCAGGAUCACAUAUUUUGCUCAAAAUCUGCUUCCAGGUGCUGAGUGGAAGGGGAAACUUCUGCACAUGAGCAGCUCUGAUGCACUGGUGUGGUUUGCACUGCCCAGCUCUUAGCAACCUUAUGUUCAAGGUGACAGUGAAAGGCACCUCAUCUCCCUCCUGUCAUCACAGGUAUGCCUGCAUUGUGGGAGAAGACUACACAAAGAUGUGAAUAUCAGAAGGUAACUGUCUGCAAGGACCUUCUCAUAAAUUUCGCUCAGAGAGGAGGCCUUCUGUGAAGUUGCCAUUAGACAUUGUCAUUCAUCUGUGGAGACUGAGGGCCAGAUAGUUUCAGCUGUGUCUGAAUUGAAUGGCGCCAGCACUCAUCUUUCCUGACAGUGGCUGAACCAGAGGAGCAUUGACAUUUUUCAUGAUGAUAGCUGGAUAUAAAUACUUGGAUCAUCCUGGAGACUCCACUGUCCAGCCCAGUAUUUCUCUUUAGCCAGUUCCUUCUCCUGCUAUAUUUGGCUGCAGCCCAUUGUGGAAAACUCUGAUGUCGAACUCCUAUGGCUGUAUAAACACCAGAGCUUAGUUCAGGGAGUCCCUCAGAUUGCCAACAAGUAUGAACUGAAUGAUGACACUGUUCGAAAUGCCUUCCUUGCUAUUCUCCUGCAUGACCAAGUAUCCUGGCUUUUUAGAUGCAGCCAUUAAACAUUAAGUUCUGGACGCUGGGAAAUCCAAGAUCAUGACGUUGGCAGGUCUGAUGCCUGGUGAGAGCCCACUUCCUCAUUGAUGACUGUCUUCUCACUGUAAUCUCCCAUGGCAGAAGGGGCAAGCCAGCUCUCUGAGGCCUCCUUUAUAAGGGAACCAAUUCCAACUAAUCACCUCUCAAGUGCACAGAUUACUAAGCGCACUUUGGAACCAUGGAGGAAGGUGGCUGAGUGUCUCUGCCACGUGGGAAAGUGAACCACAGGGAUGGCCUUGGGCUACUGGAACCACUUUGCCCAGACACAGAGGGCUGGAGGUGCCUGGGUGGUUAGCAUUGCUGUUCCUACCCCUAACUCCAGCCGGCGGCGUCACGGAACCAGGACCAGUGACUGACAGAAUAAGGUUAUGGAUUCUUGGGAUGAAGACCACAGAAGGAAAGUGCCAUUGUUCGUUUCUUCACUGUAAAGUUGCUUUUUCUACUCUUUUCCAUACUGUGUCCUUUGGAAGGAAGUCACUGUGUACAGUCCAUACUUAUGGAGUGGGGAGGCUUUUCUGGGAAUCUGAUUUCAUGGAGCCUGCUAUUUGACACCACUUCCUCGAUGUUAAGCCCGAUUUGGAUUCCUCCACCUUGAAGACUCUCUUCACUAAGAAACUGAUGUAGGAACUGUUCUUGGAGAAAGAGGCUGGUAUGAUGAGAGAAUCAAGAGUCAGAUGAAUCCUCUUCCUAAAGGUCCUCCAACUAUGAAGUAGUGAACUGGGGGCUGAAACCCCCCUCUCUCACUCUCAGUUGGUGCUCUUCGGUUCUGAACUUAAGAGGCUGCUAUGGUUUAGAAGAAAGAACUGAGGUGGCCAUUUGUUGAUUUUAUCACUGAAAUAUGGAACUUCUUCCAGACUUACCUUCCUCAUUCCUACAAUAUUGGAUAAUAAUAUUCUCCUCACAGAGCUGUCUCAAGUAUUGAAGAAGAUUGUGGAUAUAAAGUACUUUUAGAACGCCAUGUUCGUGGGAGUUGUCAAACAUAAGCGAAUUAUACCAAGACAGUGGAAGGAGAACUGAGAGAAACGAUAACUGACAAGGUAAGCUGAUUUAAAUAUUUAUUGAUUUCAUUUCAACAAAUAAUGAUUAUUGUGAUAUUACUUGCAGUCAUUUGGUGCAUGUGUAAGAGGAGGAGGCGGGGCAGUUUUGCUUAACAGUCUGUUUUGCCCCUUUAUCUUUUAUCAGGCAAGUUCUGUCUUCCAUCAACUCCUUGUAACUCGGUUUAAGUCUCUUUCUUCUAAGAACAGAGGGAUCCCCUAGGAAGUAGACAUAUAAAUGAGAAUUGAUUUUAAGUUUCAGAUGUUUACCUUGUUUCUGAGUAAGGGAGUGCUUGCCCUUCAACUUUCAGUCUAUUCAAAAUCCCUAUAUGCAGCCAAUAUUAAGUGUUUCCUGUAUACCACUUGAUGAGCACUGGGAAUAGAGGGGUGAAUAUUAUGGAGACGUUCCUUGUGCCUGUAUAGCAUGCAUUCGAAUGUCAGAAACUAGGUAAUACAUGCAUAGAGAUGUUGCAUCGUAAUGAAAGAAAAUGUGUACUGAUAUUUAAUUGGAGGCUCUUUCUGAAGGAGAAUAUUGAUGUUGAGACACAAAUGACAAGUAAGAGGCAGUAUGAAUGGUUGAGAGGACAGAAUGUUCUAGUUGAACUGAGAAGCAAGUGCAAAAGCCCUGAGGUGGGAGCAUACCUUAUGAUCAAGGUAAGCAAGGAAUGGUUGAGUAAUUUUAGAGAAAAGCCUAAAUGCUAUUUCAUUUGACAUUUUAAAAAUUAUAUUGGGUCUAAAUUUAUGCUCUUAAAUGGUUCCAGAGUGCUUGGAAAUUGAAAGUUCAUUAAUGAAAAUUCUCAUUGGAUUAGGACUUUGGAAAUGGGUUAUUGCUUAAACAUAUUUCAAAUGAUUAUGGUGAAAAAUUACAUUUCACAAAUUGGUUAAGAAUUUUAGUAACAAUCAAGCCACUUCUGUUGAGUGAAAACCUACUAGGUGCUGUGUGUACUGUGAACAGGCUCUAUGAGAAAAUAUGAGUUAACAUAAGAUAGAACUUUUAACCUGAAGAUGAGCAGAGUUGAGAUGCUGGGAAGAUGUGUAAGCCCACAAAAAGAUGACUAAUGACACAAAUUCAUAACAAGUUCAAAUAAAUCAUGACAUACUAACAAGGAAAGCAAGGGUGCUUACACCUCACAGUGCACAGGGUGGCUUCUUGAAGGAAAUGAAAUUGGAACUGGGAGGAAGAAUUAAGUGGCCAGAGCCUGGCAGAGUUUGUGGUAAUGAGCAGAAGUGAUGGGAAGCAGUGACAUAUCAAAGACUUAGGUCUUUCUUCCUUUUCUUCAUACCAUGAAGCUGAAUAAAAGUUUCACAAUUUGAUUUUUGCUUUUGGCACGAUUGAAAUACAUACCUAAAUCAUUAAGAAACUGUGUGAUCUCUUUCUAUGUUAUUUUACAACAAGGCUUCCUGUCCUACUAGACAGCAGCUCUAUGAAGAAAACUCUAGUCCCCCCGGUGUUAGUUUUUUAUUUUGAUGAAAUACAGAAUUUUAUUUUGAUGGUGCUUCACUAUUACAAAGAGAUGAAACAAAUAGAACUUCAUUCCAUAUUGACAAAUAAGAGGAAUAUUAUAGAAUGAUUCCCAUUGCUGCUAUCUACCCCAUUUUUUCUAUGAUGAAGUAGAUGACUUGGGGUUGCUGGGCCCCAAGUAUCCCAGCUCCCUUUACAGCAUCUUAAAUAGUGCUCCUUGAAUGUCAAUCAAAGGUAUAUCCAAAGUUACUGGACAUGUCUCUGUGGGACCUUCCUGAUCCUGAAAAAGGCCUCAAAGCAAAGAAAUACAGCUAAGUGAGCUGUUCAGGCAGUGGUAUAAAUGGAUUCUUGGCAAUUCAUUGGCUUUCUCUGGUCAUUGAGUCAGAGCCACACUGUUUGUUGAGGGUCGGUUUAGUAACUUCUUCUACCUUUCAUCAUCUCCUUGGUAUUUCUCUGUAUUGGGGGCAAGCUGCUACAGACUGUCUGAGAUGUUACUUUGUGUGUGUGUGUGCAUGUGCACACGUACACAUGUCUAUUUUCUCGAGGUCUUAUUUUUUAAAACUAGCUAAUCAUUAUAACUACUUGGUUUUUUGUUUUUUGUUUUUUGUUUUUGUUUUAACAAAAUACAGAUGAUUGGGAUUCAACCCAAAUCAGUUAGAUAAAAAAUCUAUGCUGGAGCCCAGAUUCUAGUAAGUUCCCUCAGGGCUGCUAAAGUUCAGUGAGUCUUGAGCUCCUUUGACCUCUCCUGAAAGGAUGAAUGCCUUGAUUUGUAUGCAUGUAUUUCUGUCAGAUGCUUUAAAUGAAGUCAAUAACCAAAAUGCAUUUCCAGAGUUCGGGUCAUUGAGUUGAGAAUCAAAUGAAAUACAUUUCUGGGUGAUGGAACAGUAAGGAUGAGAAGAGAACUAGAGCAGUGUGGUGUGCACAUAUGUAGCUACUGUCUUUGAUGCAGCACACAUAACUGACCCAAGAAAGCUAGUGCCCAGGUCACAGCUGCAGAGACACUCUUAAGAACCAUCAGUGACUUCACAAUGCCAUUACACCGGGUGUGAGGUGGUUCCUGGCAUUCAGCUUCCUGUUCUUCCAUCAAAAGGAAGACCUUUUCUGGCCAACAGGCUAGUCAGACUCCUCUAGCUUGCUAUACCUUGGUGCUAAGAGGUUCUGAUGAGGCAGUAUAGUCCUCACUCCUUUGUGUAAUAAGGUAAGGUUAAGGAAGAAAAAAGAAUUCAUAAGUGAAAAAUCGUUUUGUUUUUGUAAAGGGCCACAUGAAUGGUACAGAUCCAUCUUUCUCCCUGGGGCAGUGGACUCAGAUAACAGAUUUAACUAUAGCUACAUCUCUAUAUCUCCAAGUGACCUUGGACAAGUUCUUUGACUUGUCUAAACCUCUUUUUCUCUGAAAUGUAGACCAUUACAAGAUUGGUGUGGGAUUACAGAUAAUUGUUCGUAAAUUCAUUUUAAUGAGUAUUUUGCUUUUUUUUUUUUUUUUUGCUUUUUAGGGCUGCAAUAGCAGCAAAUGGAAGUUCCCAGGCUAGGGGUGAAAUCAGAGCUAUAGCUGCCGGCCUACACCACAGCCACAGCAACGCCAGAUCCGAGCCACAUCUGUUACCUACACAACAGCUCAUGGCAAUACUGGAUCCUUAACCCAUAGAGUGGGGCCAAGGAUUGAACCCAUAUCCUCAAGAACCCUAGUUGGGUUCAUUAUUGCUGAGUCACAAUGGGUACUCUCUCAUUUAAUGAGUAUUGAUUGCAUAACCACUACGAAUCUGAUAUUGUUCUAGGAACUAGGGAUAAAGCAAAAAAUAGUCUCCAGCUUUCAUGGAACUUGCAAGGGUAUAGUAAACAAUAAACAGGCAAAGGCUUAGUAUGCCAGGUGGUUGAUAAAGGCCUUGGAGAAGAAGGAAGCAAGGCAGAUAAGGUAGGAAUUUCGGGGGGAAUGUGGGUUUUAUGGGGAAUGUUGAGAUUUUGUUAUCAGGAGAGCUGCAUUGAUAAUUAAGGGCUUUGAAGGAAUUAGGACCAGGUAGAUAUGUAUUAAAAGUUCAUUACAGGCAAAGAACACAGCAAGUGCAAAGGCGUGGAGGUGGUAUUGUAUGUGGAAUUCUGGAGAAAUAGAAGGAAGCCAGUAGGGCUGGCACAGAGAGAGAGAAAUAGGGAUACUGGUAGGAGAUGAAGUCAGUUAGUCCUGAGGCCAAGUUAGGGAGGUAGCCCUUUGCAUACUUAAACCUGCAUGGGAAUCCCUGGGGGCUGUUGUUGAAAUGUGGAUUCAGAUUCAGUAGGUCUGGAACGAGGCCUGGGCUUCUGGAUUUUGAACCUCUUCCAGGCAGACCACACUCUGAGUGGACUAGGUGUGGGGCUAUGUAAGCUAUUGUAAAUAAAGAUGUUAGCAUUGGCCCUGAGUGAGAUGCGGGGGGGGGGGGGGCAUGGGAAUGUUUUGAGUGCCUCUUCAAGGCAUGGUUCUGGCUGUCACGAUAAUGAGGUGUCCAACGCCCUGACUGAUUUUGCACAUUGUCUGGGUUUUAGUCCUAGUGUCACCACUCACUCACUGCCUGUCUUUGGUAAGUUGCUUAAACUUCUUUUUCUCUCAACUUUUUGUUUUGAAAAAUGCUAAACCUAGAGAAAAGGUGAAAGAAAAGUACAAUUAAUGCUUUAUAUCCUUCACCUAGAUUGAUCAACUAUUAAUAUUUUUCUCUAUUUGCUUAUCUCAUACUCUUAAGUACAUAUUAUCUCAUUAUUAUUAACCAUUUAAGAGUCAGUUUUUGACAUAAUGACCCUUCAACCCUAACUAGUUCAUUAUGUAAGAAAAAUCUCCUAUAUAAAUACAAUGAACAGUCACAUUCAGAACAUUUGAUGUUGAUACAAUCAUCUAAUAUAAAAAUCUCAAUUUAAAUACAACCAAUUUCCUUCCCAAAUAUCCUUUAUAACAAUUUCCUUUUUCUGAUGUUGAAUCCAAUCCAGGAUAUUAUAUUGGAUGUUAUAUUGCUUUAGUUUUCACGUCUCAUUAGUCUUUUAACCUAGAACUGAAUUGCUUUACCUCGGCCUUUUUAAAAAAUGUAAAAAAAAUUUUUUUGAUGUUUUGUGCCAUUGUUAUUUUUGAAAAGUCUGCACCAGAGUUCUCUGGCAGCCUAGCAGUUAAGGAUCCAGCAUUGUUACUUCUGUCACUCAGGUCACUGCUGUGGUGUGAGUUCAAACCUUGGUCCGGGAACUUCCACAUGCCUGGGCAUGCCCCUUCUCCCUCCAAAAAAACCCUGGCUGGGCCAGUUGUUUUAUAGAAUGUCACCCAAUUUAGAUUAAAGGUUUGUAAUGAUUUAAUUCAGGUAUGCAUGAUUAGCAAAAGUACCAUGUAAGUGAUGUGUGCCUUGCUCUGUGCAAGCAUCCAGAGGCAUUUGAUGUCAGUUUGCUUCAUUUUAGUGAUGUUAACUUGGGUCACUUGCAUAAAGUGUUACAGCAGAUUUCUUCACUGUAUAGGUACCCAUUUUCCUUUGUAGUUAACAAGCUACCUGUAGAGAAAUACUACAUAAGUAGCCUUUCCCUCAACAAACUCUCAUCCAGUGGUUUUCCACCCAUGAAUAAUUCUCAUCUGAAAAAAUUAUUGCUUUAGAGGUUGCAAAAUGGUUAUUUUGCUAACUGUCAUUACUUGUUUUAUUAUUUGGCUAUGUAAAAGAGCUUUUUUAUUAUUUUGAUUUGUUCUAUUUGACCUUUUGACUUUAGUUUUAUUAUUCUGCCAUCUAGAAGAGCUUUCUCUUUAGCCUGUGUGUGUGUAUAUGCACGUAUGUAUCCAUCUGUGUAUCCAUGUCUGUAUCUAUCUACCUAUUCCUUGUCUUGAUAUGAACUUACGGGUUCUUUAUUUAACAAUUCAGUUGUGCUAUAAACCAUUGCUGACAUCAUUAUUUUGAUGCCCAAAUUGUCCUUGUUUUGCCAGGAGGAGCAUCUUCAAUCUGGUUCCCAUGUUCUUUUCAGGUUUGAGUGCUUCCUCAAUUUCUUGCCCCACAAAAUAUUCUAGGUUCACUUUGUACUUGACCUUCCCCAACCCUGGACAGCCAUUUUUCCCCAAAACCCUGGUUCCCUUUGUGCAGACUUGUUUAUAAGUACCAAUUUUAAAAAAAUUAAAAUAGAACUACCAUAGAAAUUAUGAAAUUAGAUGGCAAUAUAACUUGCAGAGUUAUUUUGAGGGUUAAAUGAGAAAAUUUGUGUAAAAGACUUUACAUUAUUUAUUUCAGCCAUUUCCAAGGCAGUAUAAAUCAAUGGAAACAUGGCUGAGAAUGACAGUAGAUGGAUUUAGAAAAUGUAAAUUAUGAUAUCCUCUGGGGGAACACAAAAGGUUAACAGAUUUACAUAACAGGUCCAUAAAUAUCUACUUUGCCUCCCAAUGUAUAGAAGAUAAACAGUUUGCCAUCACACAUGGCAUUUUAGCAUAAAGAGUUACCAAUCUGAUUCUCAAGUCCUUAUGCAAAUAAUACAGAAAAAAAUCAUACUCUCAAACAAAUUCUUAGUUUUGAUGAUGUGGGAAGAGAUUUUACAUAAGACUUUAAAUCCUAAAGCAUUUCAUUUAGAACUGUUUGCAAAAAGUUCUUUAAGGAGGAGGACUUCAUGUGGGGAGAGAUUGGUCCCAUUUAGACCCAGGCAUAGAAUCAAGUGGCAUGAGAACGUAAUACUAGUCUUACUAUGAAGAGGAGUUCUCAUUGCUUCAUCCAUCAUUUUUAAUUUUUCUGACUGUGAACCAUCAUACUUAGAAGGUUGGUCUUCAUAUGUGUUAACAUUUUCUUAGAAAUACUUUUUCUUUAUUAUGCAAUUAAUAGAUGUUCCUUGUAGACACAUUAGAAAA